rnacentral:rRNA from 1 species
GGGGAAUCUUAGACAAUGGGGGCAACCCUGAUCUAGCCAUGCCGCGUGAGUGAUGAAGGCCUUAGGGUUGUAAAGCUCUUUCAGCUGGGAAGAUAAUGACGGUACCAGCAGAAGAAGCCCCGGCUAACUCCGUGCCAGCAGCCGCGGUAAUACGGAGGGGGCUAGCGUUGUUCGGAAUUACUGGGCGUAAAGCGCACGUAGGCGGACUGGAAAGUCAGAGGUGAAAUCCCAGGGCUCAACCUUGGAACUGCCUUUGAAACUAUCAGUCUGGAGUUCGAGAGAGGUGAGUGGAAUUCCGAGUGUAGAGGUGAAAUUCGUAGAUAUUCGGAGGAACACCAGUGGCGAAGGCGGCUCACUGGCUCGAUACUGACGCUGAGGUGCGAAAGCGUGGGGAGCAAAC